rnacentral:rRNA from 1 species
GAGUUUGAUCCUGGCUCAGGAUGAACGCUGGCGGCGUGCUUAACACAUGCAAGUCGAACGGGGCCACCAUUUUUGAAGCGAUUAGCUUGCUAAGAGUGGAAAUGUUGGCGGCUUAGUGGCGGACGGGUGAGUAACGCGUGGGUAACCUGCCAUAUACAGGGGGAUAACACUUAGAAAUAGGUGCUAAUACCGCAUAAGCGCACGGAGCUGCAUGGCUCAGUGUGAAAAACUCCGGUGGUAUAUGAUGGACCCGCGUCUGAUUAGCUUGUUGGCGGGGUAACGGCCCACCAAGGCGACGAUCAGUAGCCGGCCUGAGAGGGUGGACGGCCACAUUGGGACUGAGACACGGCCCAAACUCCUACGGGAGGCAGCAGUGGGGAAUAUUGGACAAUGGGGGGAACCCUGAUCCAGCGACGCCGCGUGAGUGAAGAAGUAUCUCGGUAUGUAAAGCUCUAUCAGCAGGGAAGAAAGAAAUGACGGUACCUGACCAAGAAGCCCCGGCUAACUACGUGCCAGCAGCCGCGGUAAUACGUAGGGGGCAAGCGUUAUCCGGAUUUAC